UAAAUGAGGGCCGGGUUAGAGGCGUCUGAUUGUUACUCAGAAGGGUGUGUUUUUCAUUCAUUUAG
rnacentral:tRNA from 1 species